rnacentral:misc_RNA from 1 species
GAUGAAGAACGCAGCGAAAUGCGAUAAGUAAUGUGAAUUGCAGAAUUCAGUGAAUCAUCGAAUCUUUGAACGCACAUUGCGCCCCCUGGUAUUCCGGGGGGCAUGCCUGUUCGAGCGUCAUUUCACCACUCAAGCCUCGCUUGGUAUUGGGCGACGCGGUCCGCCCGCGCCUCAAAUCGACCGGCUGGGUCUUCCGUCCCCUCAGCGUUGUGGAAACUAUUCGCUAAAGGGUGCCGCGGGAGGUCACGCCGCAAAACAACCCCAUUUCUAAGGUUGACCUCGGAUCAGGUAGGGAUACCCGCUGAACUUAAGCAUAUCAAUAAGCGGAGGA